AGCUGUUCUUGAGUAUUAUACCACUUGACGACUGAGGCAGAAUCAAAGAAAGUACUAAUGCUCUUCAGUAAAACAUACAAAACUACAGACAAUGGCAGUGCCUUAUUUUGUAAAGUAUAUAGCUAUGAGCCUUUGCUACUCUUUGCUGACAUUUGGAAUUUAACUGAAGUGUCUUGUUAAAAAACAUUUAUGGAAAUAAAAAGAAUAUCUUUCCUUUUUAGGGAUAUAA
rnacentral:lncRNA from 1 species